rnacentral:tRNA from 1 species
AGGAUAAUAGUUAAUAAUAACAUUUAAUUUGCAUUUAAAAAAUAUUGCACUGCAAUUUAUCUU